CUGUAAUAACCCGCUUUUUCACUUUCCCCCCCUGACAUUUAAAAACCUACACUUUGCCCCCUUGUAAAAUAAAAAAUGUGCACUUCACCCCUACCGUUAGGGUUCCGUUAGGGAUUCUGUUAAAAAAUAUUUUUUUAUACCGAAAAUACCCCUCUGCCUCUUCUCUGAUGCUUCGCUCCCUCCGGCUCGCCGCUUCGCCACCUCGCCGCCUCGCCGUCCUCCACUGCUUCGCCCUCGCCCACAUCCCUUUCGUCCUCCUCCGCCACCUCGCCUUCGCCCUCGUUGUCCCUGUCUACCUCUCCAUCAACACCUAUUUUAGUAUCCUCCCUACUGUCGCCGAAAUCGAUGGGCGGCGACGGUGUAGGAGGAGAAGGGGAGCAGGUGGAGAAAAAAUUGGAGAAGAAUCGUGGCCGAUUGAGGUGGAAAUAGCGGCGGAUCGAAGGGGCGGCUGAGGAAGCUCAGGAAGAAGACAACAACGGCGAGGGGCAAAAUGGUCAUUUUACACACCGUGACCCCUCCGUGAACAUUUUUCAUUUUACAAGGGGGCAAAGUGUAGGUUUUUAAAUGUCAGGGG
rnacentral:lncRNA from 1 species